AGUGAACGCUGGCGGUAGGCCUAACACAUGCAAGUCGAACGGCAGCACAGUAAGAGCUUGCUCUUACGGGUGGCGAGUGGCGGACGGGUGAGGAAUACAUCGGAAUCUACUUUUUCGUGGGGGAUAACGUAGGGAAACAUACGCUAAUACCGCAUACGAACUACGGGUGAAAGCAGGGGAUCUUCGGACCUUGCGCGAUUGAAUGAGCCGAUGUCGGAUUAGCUAGUUGGAGGGGUAAAGGCCCACCAAGGCGACGAUCCGUAGCUGGUCUGAGAGGAUGAUCAGCCACACUGGAACUGAGACACGGUCCAGACUCCUACGGGAGGCAGCAGUGGGGAAUAUUGGACAAUGGGCGCAAGCCUGAUCCAGCCAUGCCGCGUGGGUGAAGAAGGCCUUCGGGUUGUAAAGCCCUUUUGUUGGGAAAGAAAAGCAGCAGGUUAAUACCCCGCUGUUCUGACGGUACCCAAAGAAUAAGCACCGGCUAACUUCGUG
rnacentral:rRNA from 1 species